rnacentral:rRNA from 1 species
GAAACCGAAUCCCGGCCCUACGGGUGCGCAGCAGGCGCGAAAACUUUACAAUGCGGGCAACAGUGAUAAGGGAACCUCGAGUGCCUGUAUAUGCAGGCUGUCCAGGUGUCUAAAACACACCUGAAGAAAGGGCCGGGCAAGACCGGUGCCAGCCGCCGCGGUAAUACCGGCGGCUCGAGUGGUGGCCGCUUUUAUUGGGCUUAAAGCGUUCGUAGCUGGGUCGUUAAGUCUCUUGGGAAAUCCGGCAGCUCAACUGUCGGGCGUCUAAGAGAUACUGGCGAUCUUGGAACCGGGAGAGGUGAGGGGUACUUCGGGGGUAGGAGUGAAAUCCUGUAAUCCUCGAGGGACCACCUGUGGCGAAGGCGCCUCACCAGAACGGCUUCGACAGUGAGGGACGAAAGCUGGGGGAGCAAACCGGAUUAGAUACCCGGGUAGUCCCAGCCGUAAACUAUGCGCGUUAGGUGACC